rnacentral:rRNA from 1 species
AAGGAAUAUUGGUCAAUGGACGCAAGUCUGAACCAGCCAUGCCGCGUGAAGGAUGAAGGUCCUCUGGAUUGUAAACUUCUUUUAUCUGGGACGAAAACGGGAUUUUAUCUCAAUUGACGGUACCAGAGGAAUAAGCACCGGCUAACUCCGUGCCAGCAGCAGCGGUAAUACGGAGGGUGCGAGCGUUAUCCGGAUUUACUGGGUUUAAAGGGAGAGUAGGUGGGCUUAUAAGUCAGUGGUGAAAUCUCCGGGCUUAACUUGGAAACUGCCGUUGAUACUAUGGGUCUUGAAUUAUCUGGAGGUAAGCGGAAUAUGUCAUGUAGCGGUGAAAUGCUUAGUUAUGACAUAGAACACCAAUUGCGAAGGCAGCUUACUACAUAUAAAUUGACGCUGAGGCACGAAAGCGUGGGGAUCAAACA